rnacentral:rRNA from 1 species
UAAUACCCCAUAGAUAUUCAAUGCUGGAAGGCUUGGAUAUCGAAAGCGCAAGCGCCAGAGGGUGAGUCUGCGGCCUAUCAGGUAGUAGGUGGUGUAACGGACCACCUAGCCUAAGACGGGUACGGGCCUUGAGAGAGGGAGCCCGGAGAUGGGUUCUGAGACACGAACCCAGGCCCUACGGGGCGCAGCAGGCGCGAAACCUUCGCACUGCGCGAAAGCGCGACGAGGGGAGCCCGAGUGCCUCUCCAUUUCGGGGAGGCUUUUCACAAGCCUAAAAAGCUUGUGGAAUAAGGGCUGGGCAAGACGGGUGCCAGCCGCCGCGGUAAUACCCGCAGCUCGAGUGGUGGUCGCUUUUAUUGAGCCUAAAACGUUCGUAGUCGGCCUUGUAAACCCCUGGGUAAAUCGGACCGCUUAACGGUUCGAAUUCCGGGGAGACUGCAAGGCUAGGGACCGGGCGAGGUCAGAGGCACUUUCGGGGUAGGAGUGAAAUCCUGUAAUCCCGAAGGGACCACCUGUGGCGAAAGCGUCUGACUUGAACGGCUCCGACGAUGAGGAACGAAGGCUAGGGGAGCAAACCGGAUUAGAUACCCGGGUAGUCCUAGCUGUAAACUCUGCCCGCUUGGUGUGGCCUGUCCUUCGGGGGCAGGCUGUGCCGGAGCGAAGGUGUUAAGCGGGCUGCUUGGGGAGUACGGCCGCAAGGUUGAAACUUAAAGGAAUUGGCGGGGGAGCACCGCAACGGGAGGAUGCGUGCGGUUUAAUGGAUCAACGCCGG